CGAGGAGGCCUGAGCUCGGGUUUUCAUUAUCGUGUGUACAAAUGUGAUCGUCUCCUUGCAGCCCGCCUCCCGCUCCAGGCGGCAGCUGUUGGCUGGUGCAUGGUAAUUUGAUGUAAAUUGCCCCCAAAUAUGGUAAUUCCCUUCUCUGCCAGAGAGCUCGAAGUCACAAACCUGGAGAGGUCGGCAGCAGAUGUUUUCUUACCGCUCUGCAGGCUGCUGGUGUCAUGGAAAAAUGGCAGCAGACCCCGAGACAAGGCCGCUUGGGCUACUUCCCGUGGGGGACAGGCCGUGGGCACUGAGUGUCUGCACCUGGGAAAUCAGCACAAUGUCUAGUCUGCUUGAAGUAGCAGAGGAAAGAAACAUUGCUCCGGUAUUUUCAGCACCGAGGACUGUGCGGGCAGGAAACACGGCAGAAGAUCCAUGGAUAAAAUAGAUCGGCUGCAGGAAGAAACCAGAGGUAUUCCCCGUGCUGCCAGCCAGCCAGCCAGCCUUCUCAGGAGCCGCGAUUCUCAUCUCUAGCUGGACUCACCUCUGUGAGACUUGGAAAACACAGAUCUCGACACCAUGGCCACGUAUUCUCAGGAGCUGCAGUUUCUCAUCAGGACAGGGAAAUCUCCUUCCAGCCCAAAGAGGGGUUCUGGUAAUAAAGACUGCUGUGUGCCAUGGGCAGAGUGGAGCGCUGGCUCCCCUCAGCCACAAAGCCAGCUUGACAUGCCAGCCUUGACCACGUGAUGGGCCAGAGGGAGAGCAUGUGCACCCCCAGGAAAUGCUACCUCCUCACAACAGUGUCAAGAAUUUGGUGACAUCUCCUGACUUUUAGACAUUAAAAAAAAAGACUCAAAGAAGUGAAGCCAUUCAUCCAAGGUCGCACAAGCCAAGUGGCCAGAUCCUGCUUCAAAAUGAAGUCAGUCAACCUGGCUGUUUGAAAGUGUGCUCUUAGUUGGGGGCCUCUUUUCAAGGUCAGCUGGGUGGACUCCGUUCUGUGGCAGGGCUAAUGGACACAAAACAGAGGUCUGGGAAGUGCAGGCAGAGCUGAACUGAAUUGCCCUUGACACUUGAAGCCAGCUGAUGGACAGGUGGUUCACAUCCGUGCCACGGUUGGUAUUGUCCCUGUAGUGGUUCCUGGGGAGUGGGGCAGACAGUCGAAAUGUUCCAGCCCCAGCAGGAGGCACAAGGGCAGACUCUCAGAAGGAAUUAAUAAUACCCAAGGAAUUCCUUCGGAACAGUGGGGGAGAAUAAGGAUUCUUCAAAAAAAGGCCUAAUAGCAAAUUUUCUGGAUUUUCCAGCUAAUUUGAAGGUACCUACUUGGAACAUUUUCUUGUCAGAAAAGAUUUUAAAGUACAUUCAUUCAGCGUGACAUGAUAAUUGGGCCUGGCUGUCUGAUGAAUGCCUUUUAUCUUUUCCUGAGCUAUUGUUCAGUGGGAUGGAGCCGCUGGGCGAAGUGGGCACUUGGUUAAAUGCAGAAACAGCCACUUGUGAUGGUCAUAGGCGAAAGGGAGGUCUCAGAGGUGCAGGUGAAAACUUAUAUAUGGUCAAGUAUCCGGAAGGGGAGAACAAGAAGUCGUUAGAGAAGAUCAGGGUCCAGGGAGGAACAGGAGGCUGCCAAUGCCACUCAACUUGGGGUUGACCCGGAUCACUUUCUGAGCCAGUCUGAGGUCCUUGUGAGGGGUGUGUAUAAUAAGACACACCAGUGGGCAGCUUGUGUCUGGCUGAAGCUGCCCUGUCCCCACUGGGCCCCAAUUCCCCUUCACCAGAGGCCCCACCCUCUGGGCUGCAGAACCGGAAGGCAGCAAGGGUAUAUUCUCCCGGCUAUUCUCAGCCCCCCCAGUAAUGGAAGCAGCUAUUUUCAGGAGCCUUUCUUCUCUAUUUUUUAUGCUUUCCUGUUCUUUAAUGCUCUUGUUUUAUCACAGGCAAAUUUCCAGGCCUGGCCAUCUGACAGUUAUCUCCGUAUUCCUUUGUCACCCCCAAGAAAGAAGGAUUUGUUUGGAUUUAUUGUUUUUCAACUUUACGUCAUUUUUUCCCCCUUAUCAUUAUUUUUCUAUUGAAUUUGCUUCAAAUUUAUUUUUUUAGAAACCAGACUUGCUUUCGAGUGUCUCGGAGCCUUCCAUAUGUUAAUAAGAUGCUCGUAGAGCUGUAGCUUGGUUUUUCUCCUUGUCAGAGCAAGGCCAUCCUUCCUUUUAAGAGACAGCUUGUCCUCAAAAAUGCCCUUCAUUAACAUUUAACGAAUGAAACAGUUUCCAUUGGGAUUAAGAAGUUGACAUUUCCAUUGUUUUUCUUAGAAAACAGCACAACAGUAAUCGGGCUCUCAAGUGACUGCCUUUUCCACAGAACUGAGAUAACAAAGGCCUGGACCAGGUAUAGGAGCCCAUACCUGGUCCCAUGUGUUGCUAUUUAGACAGGUAUGCCUGUCUCUGUGUCUGAAUGUGUGUUUAUGACAUUUUAUACAUGGCAGUGAUUUCUGCCAAUGUAUAAUUGGCCAUGUGUGUACCUGUGCCGGUGUGUGUGUGUGUGUGUGUGUGUGUGUGUGUGUGUGUGCAGAUAUCUUCUACCCACGGCUGUGGAUACGUACUGUUCAUGUGUGACUGUGUUCAUGCAUAAAUUUAUCUGCAUGUGUUCUAGUGUGCCUACACACAGAGAGAUGACAUACUUUUGUGGAGAGGGUGCUGUGUGCAUCAUGUCUGUGAGUCUGUGUAUCCAGGGUCUGGGUGAAGCUCCUGUGUGUGUGUGUAAGUCUUUGUCCUGUUUGUAGAAGUGUUUGGGAGCCCCAGGGAUGCGCAGCUUUGUCUUCAGAGUCCCUUAUACACACAUACACAGCACCCCCCGGUGGUCACUGCUGGAAUGCAGCCACAAACAAAACAACAAAAACAGUCAUGCUCAAAAUCAUGUCGAAUUCAAGAGAGGGUUUCUGGUUAUGUGCAGGGCAAGCUUCUAGGAUGGUCCUUGAAAAGGGGGGUGUGUUGUAAGUCUGGCCUAAGGUACACACUCAACAGAGAACCCCCGCAGGGCGCAGACAGCUAUUUCAUGGUGCCAUGGUGAAGGGGCUCUUUCUCUGGUAUGGGCUUCCUCUCAAGCAGAAAGGUCGGAAGCUACCUUAUGUGUGAGUGUGUUUCUGGGGUCCUGCAUUCUCUGUCAGAAUCCUGGGCCCCAUUCCAAGAAUAUAUCCAGCUUAGUGCCCUUUGGGUACCAUAUAAAGUCCUCCCAGUCUAGGAAAUGGGGAAGCUUCACCAGAGACAGUGCGUUUGCUUCCUAUUGCCCUCAUAAAGUGUGUGUCACAAACUUACAGGCUAAAAUAGGUCACCUGUGUAAAAUAGGGUGUCAGAGGCCAGAUGUGGUACUUCAUACCUACACACCCAGGUUUAGAAGGCAAAGACAGGAGAACUGUCGAAAGUUGGAGGCCAACCUGGUCUACAUAAUGAGUUCAGGCCCAGCCAGGACUACAUAGUGAGACCUCGUUUUAAAACAAAGCAACAAUUAAAGGAGGUCUCAGGAGCAGGGGGAGAGUGUGUGUCCUUCUCUUUACCACUUCUAGAUGUGGCCUGGAUUCCCUGGGUGGUGGCUCAUGUCACUUCCACCUCUGCCAUCACUCCUCUUCCUGACCCUCCUGACUCCUUCCCUCUCUUAUGAGGACCACUGGGUGAACCUAGAACCAACCUGACACGGCAGAUCUCUCUAGCUCCAGAUUCUCAGGUUUACCCUGUGUGGUGUUUGAAUAAGAAUGGCUCCCAAAGGCUCAUAUAUUUGAAGGUUUAGUCACUAAGGAAUGACAUUAUUUGAAAGGAUUAGAAGAAGUAGGAGGUGUGGCCUUGGAGGAAGAGGGGGUGGGCUUUGAGGUUUCAAAACCCAUGACAAGCCCAGAGUGUCUCUCUCUGCCUAAUCAGGAUGCAGAACUCUGAGUUCUGCUCUCUUCUGUCCAGCACCAUGUUUGUCUGUGUGCUGCCAUGUUCCCUGUCCUGAUGAUAAUGGACUCAACCUUUGUUAAGCUGCAAACAAACCCACAGUUAAAAGCUUACUUUUCUAAGAUUCGUCACGGUCAUGGUGUCUCUUCACAAAACUAGAACAGUGGCUAAUACCGUCUGUCAGCAAAGCCUCUUUUGUUCGGGAACAGGGCACUCAUGGGAUUGAUGAGGAGGACAUGAAUAUCUUCGGGAGUGUCAUUUGGCCACUACGAAUGCCCACUCUACGUGUGGACACCGUCCAUAUGAGCACACACACAUGCAGCUGCUGUGUAUAGAAUGUUCACCUGUGCCUAUCACAGCACCAACUCUAUCCUGUCUCAUUCUAACCCCUCAACAGUCCAAUGGGCAAGUUUUGUCACUAUAACUCUAUAAUAAGUGGAACUGCUACUGUGACUUGGAUCUUGAACGUCUCCUCAAAGGCCUGCAUGUUGAAAGCUUGGUCCCCAGCCUCUGCCCCUUCUGGGGAGAAGAUGUUCACAUCAGGAGGUGGGGCCAGUGGAAGGAAUUGAGCUACGGAGGGUAUGCCCUUGAGGGAGAUAUGCUGAUCCUGCUUCCUUUCCCUUCCUCUUUUAUCAUUUUAAAAGAGACUUGUUUUGCGUUUAUUUACUUAUUAACGUGUGCAUGUCACAGCACACAUGUGCAGGUCAGAGGGCAACUUGUGUCCUCUCUCCCACCUGGGUUCUGGGGAUUGAACUCAGGUCAUCAGGCUUUGUGAUUUUGGGUUUUUUUUUUUUGGGGGGGGGGUUGUUUUGGUUUGUUUUGGUUUUGCUUUUGCUUUUCUUUUCUGGGCUCCACAGGUGAUCAGGCUUCCACCACAAUGUUCUGUGCUGCCAUAGACCCAAAGCAACAGGGCCAACUAUGGACAAAACUGAGCCAAACAGAGUCUUCCUGCUUAUCCAGAUAUUCUGUCACAGGGACAGAUGCCUGGACUAACACUUCUGCUAACAGCAAAUGGCAUUCUAACGUCACGUACGUUACACAUCUGGGCAGUCGUGGAGACGCACUUUGAGCCCCGCAUCAACAAACCUCAAGGCCACACUUUUCUCCAGUAAAGGAUAUUGACAGAAGAGCCAAAUUCCCAUCUUACAGAUGAGAGAGAAAGCAUUUGACAAUAACUUGACAUGCGUCCAUCAAGGCCUUGAGAAACUGAGCACGUGAUGGACAGAGCAAGCAUGGGCAAUACAGGGAAGAAAGACACUGAUUUUUUGUAUUCAUUUAAUUCAUUUUUAGACACUGUUCUGGGGAACAGAUAGUCCUGUGUCCACCACUGUCCACAGAUGUGGUGGCACAUACUUUUAAUUCCAGCACUCAGGAGGUACAAAUCAUCUCUUCAAGUUCAAGGUCAGCCUGAUUUCCCUUACUUCCUAAUGUUGCCUUCCCUUGCCUCUGUGUCCCCCAAACCUUCCCCUAAGCCUCAGCUCUCACAACCCCAGUCCAGUUUAUAUCCCUUCAGUUUUGCUUUUUCCAGAAUAUCAUAAGUGAAAGUAUAGAUGACCUUUUAAUUCUUUUUGUUUGUUUGUUUGUUUUUAUAGACAAGGUUUCUCUGUAUAACAGAGCUUUGGCUGUCCUGGACCUCACUUUGUAGACCAGGCUGGUCUCAAAUACAGAGAUCCUCCUGCCUCUGCCUCCCUAGUGCUGGUAUUAAAGGUAUGUGCCCUUUAAUUCUUUUUAAAAGUAAAAUUAUUAUGUAAACAAUUCAACAAGCUAUUCUUUACAUAUAUUUGCAUAUCAUUUGCAUAUCAUGACCAUGAGUUUGGGAGGUAUAGAAUUCUAUGAAGUUUCACACAGAGUCAUGUGACCACAUGCUAGUAAGACCACAUUCAAGACUCAGGCUAUUCCACCACUUCAAAAAGUCCAGGGCUAGGAGGUAACUCAGUACUCGCCUUGCCUGUACGAAGUCCCCAGCACGAUACAACCCCUGUAUGCUGGGGUAUCCCUGAAACCUAAGCCCUUGGACAUCAGACGCUCACGGUCAUCCAGAAUGUCGUACGGAGGCAGCCAUGUAGUCGGCCUCCUGAGGCUCUGCUGUCACUCUCCAUGAGCACCUGUGAGGAUCUUGCAUCUGUGCGCUCAGUUUCUCCUUGUCAGGAGCGUCCCGUCAUUAACGCACCACAGGCUAUGUCCCUCACUCCUCCCCAGGCCAGCCUCCUCCCAAUGCGGUGUUUCCCAGGGUGGCCAUUUCCAGUGUGGCAGAUCUGAGUGAUCCUACACCCACUGAUUUCAGGACGUUUUCUUGAGAAUUUUUUGCAUCUAUAUUCAUGAGGAAUGUUAGGCUGUAGCUUUCUUUCUGUAAGGAAGGUCUUUGUCUAUUUUCGAUGGGGGGUUGGGGAGGGCGUUAGGCCUCUAAAAUGACUGAGAAGUGUUUCCGCCUCUUCUAUUUUCUGUAAAAGUUGGCGUCGAGUUGGUAUUAUUUCUUUCUUAAAUCACUCUCUAUUAAACUUGCAGC